GACGAACGCUGGCGGCGUGCUUAACACAUGCAAGUCGAGCGGUAAGGCCCUUUCGGGGGUACACGAGCGGCGAACGGGUGAGUAACACGUGGGUGACCUGCCCUCAGCUCUGGGAUAAGCCUGGGAAACCGGGUCUAAUACUGGAUAUGACUCCAUGACGCAUGUUGUGGGGUGGAAAGCCUUGUGCGGCUGAGGAUGGGCCCGCGGCCCAUCAGCUUGUUGGUGGGGUGANGGCCUACCAAGGCGACGACGGGUAGCCGGCCUGAGAGGGCGACCGGCCACACUGGGACUGAGACACGGCCCAGACUCCUACGGGAGGCAGCAGUGGGGAAUCUUGCGCAAUGGGCGAAAGCCUGACGCAGCG
rnacentral:rRNA from 1 species